rnacentral:lncRNA from 1 species
UAAAAAUAAUUUUAUUAUAACUUUCAUUAACAAAUUUAGAGUACACGGUACUAAGUAUAACACUGUAACGACUAGAUUAGGUUGAUUUUUUCAUUUGGUAAAAAAUCAAAAAUAAUUUAAAUAUAUUUUAAACGUUAACACAGUAGUCCAACAUAGUUAUAUUCUAAGACACCCACUCAAUCUUUGGUUAAAUUAAUUGAAAUAGUACAGUCACUGAAGGUUUUCACCUCCAAUUUCGUUGAAUUUUCAUUGAUUUUCUUGGAAAUUGGUAAGUAGGUAAAGGAUUCCUUAAGACACAAAAGUGACAUAGUAAUUUGCGCUUUUACUAGCAGUCAUCCCCACCCAGGGUAAAAGCAAGAUUUCUAAAUCUACUGUUUUAUUAAAAAUAAUAUAUAUUAAUAAAAAUUGUAAUAAAUUCCCUACUUGAAAAACCUUUUAAUAUUAAUUUAAAGUGAGUUAUAGGUAAGUGAAUAAAUUUUUUAUGAAGGACUCAAAUCUAAAAGUAUUCAAGUUUAAAUAACGGGCAAACGAUGCAUUUUAUAAAAUAUACAGACUUACUAAGCACUUACCAAAGUACUCAGGAAUACCUGUCAAAUGAGCUCUAGCAGAAGUUGAUAGCAAAAUUAAAAAAGUUAUGAUGGCAAUAAGAGGACACUUUCGAAUUUUUUAGAAAAAA